CAGAGCCUGACGUCACCCGGACACAACCAUUCUCCUUCUAGGGGGUGACGUCUCGAAGUGCCCCGAGGUGAGCCUCACGUUGCGCUCCACACAACCCUGCACACAUUAGGGGGAAAGAGCAAACGAGAUGACGCUGGACAGGCCUUCAAGGCUGCCUCCUCGUGCGCGCACUGAGGCGCACGUGCUGGAGCGCCCCCGUCGGUGCCCCGCGGGGAACGUGGGUCCUUCCGCAGGGGCCAGAGGCGGGGCGCCGGGGGCGUGCCCGUGACGUCACGCGGGGGGCGCCGCGCGGGUUUGCGGGCGCGGGAGCCGCGGAGGGCGGGUGCGCGGCCUGGCCGGCCCGGCGCGCUGAAGGGGCUGGGGAGCCAGCCGGGACCGGACGACCGCGUGUCACCCCGAGUCCGGCCCGCAGCCGGGCGACGCGGGGGUCCGUGCGCCGCCCGAAAGCCCGCAGCAGUGAGCGCCGUCGCGCUCGCCCGGCCUCGGGGGCCUGCGUGUCCGAGCUGCCCGCUGCUGCGAGCCGCGAAGUCCGUCAGCGAGGAGGGCCGGCGUGGGCACCUGCUGCGGAGACCCGCAGACUCCCGAGCACCGGAAGCCAAGCAGAGCGGGGCACGGCCAGGGAGAGAGCGCAGCAGGCAGGGGAGCAGCAGGCAGAGGGAGGAGCAGGCUCUCCGCAGAGCCUGACUGGAUCCCAGGGUCCUGGGAUCGUGACCGGAGCCGAAGGCAGACGCUUCACCAACUGAGCCACCCAGGCGCCCCGAACCAGAUUUUUUUAAAUAAAGAUUCAUGCUUUAGAGAACUA